rnacentral:rRNA from 1 species
UGGGGAAUAUUGGACAAUGGGCGAAAGCCUGAUCCAGCCAUGCCGCGUGUGUGAAGAAGGUCUUCGGAUUGUAAAGCACUUUAAGUUGGGAGGAAGGGCAGUAAGUUAAUACCUUGCUGUUUUGACGUUACCGACAGAAUAAGCACCGGCUAACUCUGUGCCAGCAGCCGCGGUAAUACAGAGGGUGCAAGCGUUAAUCGGAAUUACUGGGCGUAAAGCGCGCGUAGGUGGUUUGUUAAGUUGGAUGUGAAAGCCCCGGGCUCAACCUGGGAACUGCAUCCAAAACUGGCAAGCUAGAGUACGGUAGAGGGUGGUGGAAUUUCCUGUGUAGCGGUGAAAUGCGUAGAUAUAGGAAGGAACACCAGUGGCGAAGGCGACCACCUGGACUGAUACUGACACUGAGGUGCGAAAGCGUGGGGAGCAAACGGGAUUAGAUACCCCCGUAGUCCCUGAGCGGGCUGGCAAGGCGCAU